UGGAUCACCUCCUAACAGGGAGACAACAAAAUGUUUAAUAUUAUUAUUUUGUCACCUUAGGUCGAUCGGUAUCUCACGUUCUUAAUUUAUUAAGAAUUUCAUUUCCUAAGUUUUUCUAGGUCACACCCAUUAUUUUUCCUGGGCCAUUAGCUCAGGUGGUUAGAGCGCACCCCUGAUAAGGGUGAGGUCCCUGGUUCAAGUCCAGGAUGGCCCAUAUCUCUAUGUUGGGGGUAUAGCUCAGUUGGUAGAGCGCCUGCUUUGCAAGCAGGAUGUCAGCGGUUCGAGUCCGCUUACCUCCACUGAUUACCACCUCUUCCAUAAUCGGUAGAAAGGAAAUUUUUUGAGUUGUGAUCAAAUUCUGAACGAAUCUAGCUUCCUAAUGUAAUCAUUAAGAUGCUGGACUCAUUGAAUUAAAUUCAUUGUUUUCAGAGAACCUUGACAACUGCAUAGAUUAUUUUUAAAGACAAUAAGCAUCUUUAAUGAUGCAGAUUUAUUAUUUGUGCAAAUGCAUUAAAUAACAAUUCUAUUAAGCUGAUGCUUCAAUUUUGAAGUUAUUGGUCAAGCUACAAAGGGCUCACGGAGGAUACCUAGGCACACAGAGGCGAUGAAGG
rnacentral:tRNA from 1 species